AAGCUUUUUGCUCGCGUUAUGU
rnacentral:miRNA from 2 species